rnacentral:rRNA from 1 species
UUCUUUCCUCCCGAGUGCUUGCACUCAAUUGGAAAGAGGAGUGSCGGACGGGUGAGUAACACGUGGGUAACCUACCCAUCAGAGGGGGAUAACACUUGGAAACAGGUGCUAAUACCGCAUAACAGUUUAUGCCGCAUGGCAUAAGAGUGAAAGGCGCUUUCGGGUGUCGCUGAUGGAUGGACCCGCGGUGCAUUAGCUAGUUGGUGAGGUAACGGCUCACCAAGGCCACGAUGCAUAGCCGACCUGAGAGGGUGAUCGGCCACACUGGGACUGAGACACGGCCCAGACUCCUACGGGAGGCAGCAGUAGGGAAUCUUCGGCAAUGGACGAAAGUCUGACCGAGCAACGCCGCGUGAGUGAAGAAGGUUUUCGGAUCGUAAAACUCUGUUGUUAGAGAAGAACAAGGACGUUAGUAACUGAACGUCCCCUGACGGUAUCUAACCAGAAAGCCACGGCUAACUACGUGCCAGCAGCCGCGGUAAUACGUAGGUGGCAAGCGUUGUCCGGAUUUAUUGGGCGUAAAGCGAGCGCAGGCGGUUUCUUAAGUCUGAUGUGAAAGCCCCCGGCUCAACCGGGGAGGGUCAUUGGAAACUGGGAGACUUGAGUGCAGAAGAGGAGAGUGGAAUUCCAUGUGUAGCGGUGAAAUG